rnacentral:rRNA from 1 species
UUCGGCCCGUAAACCCCUGUCAUUUGCGAACAAAUUGGUUCAACUAAUACCUGAACCAUUGAUAGUAGCGAAAGAGGAAGGGACGGCUAACUCUGUGCCAGCAGCCGCGGUAAUACAGAGGUCCCCAAGCGUUGUUCGGAUUCACUGGGCGUAAAGGGUGCGUAGGUGGUGAGGUAAGUCGGAUGUGAAAGCUCGGAGCUCAACUCCGAAAUGGCAUUGGAAACUACCUUGCUAGAGGGUUGGAAGGGGGACUGGAAUGCUUGGUGUAGCAGUGAAAUGCGUAGAUAUCAAGCGGAACACCAGUGGCGAAGGCGAGUCCCUGGACAACUCCUGACACUGAGGCACGAAAGCUAGGGGAGCAAACAGGAUUAGAUACCCUGGUAGUCCUAGCCGUAAACGGUGCACGUUUGCUGUAAAAGGAAUCGACCCCUUUUGUGGCGUAGCCAACGCGUUAAACGUGCCGCCUGGGAAGUACGGUCGCAAGAUUAAAACUCAAAGAAAUUGACGGGGGCCUGCACAAGCGGUGGAGUAUGUGGCUCAAUUCGAUGCAACGCGAAGAACCUUACCUGGCCUUGACAUGCACAUAGUAGAAGGGUGAAAGCCUGACGAGGUAGCAAUACCAGUGUGCACAGGUGCUGCAUGGCUGUCUCAGCUCGGUCGGAGAUGU